GUAGGUGGCAAGCGUUGUCCGGAAUUAUUGGGCGUAAAGCGCGCGCAGGCGGUUCUUUAAGUCUGAUGUGAAAGCCCACGGGCUCAACCGUGGAGGGUCAUUGGAAACUGGAGAACUUGAGUACAGAAGAGGAAAGCGGAAUUCCACGUGUAGCGGUGAAAUGCGUAGAGAUGUGGAGGAACACUAGUGGCGAAGGCGGCUUUCUGGUCUGUAACUGACGCUGAGGCGCGAAAGCGUGGGGAGCAAACAGGAUUAGAUACCCUGGUAGUCCACGCCGUAAACGAUGAGUGCUAAGUGUUAGGGGGUUUCCGCCCCUUAGUGCUGCAGCUAACGCAUUAAGCACUCCGCCUGGGGAGUACGGCCGCAAAGGCUG
rnacentral:rRNA from 1 species